rnacentral:rRNA from 1 species
UACGUAGGGGGCUAGCGUUGUCCGGAUUUAUUGGGCGUAAAGCGCGUGUAGGCGGCCAGGUAGGUCCGCUGUGAAAACUCGAGGCUCAACCUCGAGCUGUCGGCGGAAACCAUCUGGCUAGAGUCCGGAAGAGGAGAGUGGAAUUCCCGGUGUAGCGGUGAAAUGCGCAGAUAUCGGGAAGAACACCCGUGGCGAAAGCGGCGCACUGGACCACAACUGACGCUGAGGCGCGAAAGCUAGGGGAGCAAACAGG